GACGAACGCUGGCGGCGUGCUUAACACAUGCAAGUCGAACGAUGAAGCCUAGCUUGCUAGGUGGAUUAGUGGCGAACGGGUGAGUAAUACGUGAGUGACCUACCUUUGACUCUGGGAUAAGCCUGGGAAACUGGGUCUAAUACCGGAUACGACCAAUCUCCGCAUGGGGUGUUGGUGGAAAGCGUUAUGGAGUGGUUUUAGAUGGGCUCACGGCCUAUCAGCUUGUUGGUGAGGUAAUGGCUUACCAAGGCGACGACGGGUAGCCGGCCUGAGAGGGUGACCGGCCACACUGGGACUGAGACACGGCCCAGACUCCUACGGGAGGCAGCAGUGGGGAAUAUUGCACAAUGGGCGCAGGCCUGAUGCAGCGACGCCGCGUGAGGGAUGACGGCCUUCGGGUUGUAAACCUCUGUUAGCAUCGAAGAAGCGAAAGUGACGGUAGGUGCAGAGAAAGCGCCGGCUAACUGCGUGCCAGCAGCCGCGGUAAUACGUAGGGCGCGAGCGUUGUCCGGAAUUAUUGGGCGUAAAGAGCUUGUAGGCGGUUGGUCGCGUCUGCUGUGAAGGCUGGGGCUUAACCCUGGUUUUGCAGUGGGUACGGGCUAACUAGAGUGCAGUAGGGGAGACUGGAAUUCCUGGUGUAGCGGUGGAAUGCGCAGAUAUCAGGAGGAACACCGAUGGCGAAGGCAGGUCUCUGGGCUGUAACUGACGCUGAGAAGCGAAAGCAUGGGGAGCGAACAGGAUUAGAUACCCUGGUAGUCCAUGCCGUAAACGUUGGGCACUAGGUGUGGGGGACAUUCCACGUUUUCCGCGCCGUAGCUAACGCAUUAAGUGCCCCGCCUGGGGAGUACGGCCGCAAGGCUAAAACUCAAAGAAAUUGACGGGGGCCCGCACAAGCGGCGGAGCAUGCGGAUUAAUUCGAUGCAACGCGAAGAACCUUACCAAGGCUUGACAUAUACUGGACUGCGUCAGAGAUGGCGUUUCCCUUCGGGGCUGGUAUACAGGUGGUGCAUGGUUGUCGUCAGCUCGUGUCGUGAGAUGUUGGGUUAAGUCCCGCAACGAGCGCAACCCUCGUUCUAUGUUGCCAGCACGUGAUGGUGGGGACUCAUAGGAGACUGCCGGGGUUAACUCGGAGGAAGGUGGGGAUGACGUCAAAUCAUCAUGCCCCUUAUGUCUUGGGCUUCACGCAUGCUACAAUGGCCGGUACAGAGGGUUGCGAUACUGUGAGGUGGAGCUAAUCCCUAAAAGCCGGUCUCAGUUCGGAUUGGGGUCUGCAACUCGACCCCAUGAAGUCGGAGUCGCUAGUAAUCGCAGAUCAGCAACGCUGCGGUGAAUACGUUCCCGGGCCU
rnacentral:rRNA from 1 species